CUGCUAUCGGAUGAUACUAAGCCAUGCGAGUCUUUGUAGUAAUACAAGGCAGACGGCUCAGUAACACGUAGUCAACCUACCCUAUGGACGAGAAUAAUCUCGGGAAACUGAGCAUAAUUCUUGAUAGAUCAUAAUGCCUGGAAUGGUUUAUGGUUAAAAUGAUUCGUCGCCAUAGGAUGGGACUGCGGCCUAUCAGCUUGUUGGUGAGGUAAUGGCCCACCAAGGCGAUUACAGGUACGGGCUCUGAGAGGAGAAGCCCGGAGAUGGGUACUGAGACACGGACCCAGGCCCUAUGGGGCGCAGCAGGCGAGAAAACUUUGCAAUGUGCGAAAGCACGACAAGGUUAAUCCGAGUGAUUUCUGCUAAAGAAAUCUUUUGUCAGUCAUAAAACCACUGACGAAUAAGGGGUGGGCAAGUUCUGGUGUCAGCCGCCGCGGUAAAACCAGCACCUCAAGUGGUCAGGAUGAUUAUUGGGCCUAAAGCAUCCGUAGCCGGCUUUGUUAGUUUGCGGUUAAAUCCAUGUGCUCAACACAUGGGCUGCCGAAAAUACUGCAUGGCUAGGGAGUGGGAGAGGUAGACGGUACUCAGUAGGAAGGGGUAAAAUCCUUUGAUCUAUUGAUGACCACCUGUGGCGAAGGCGGUCUACCAGAACACGUUCGACGGUGAGGGAUGAAAGCUGGGGGAGCAAACCGGAUUAGAUACCCGGGUAGUCCCAGCUGUAAACGAUGCAGACUCGAUGAUGCAUUGGCAUAAUAGCCAGUGCAGUGUCGCAGGGAAGCCGUUAAGUCUGCCGCCUGGGAAGUACGUACGCAAGUAUGAAACUUAAAGGAUUGGCGGGGGAGCACCACAAGGGUGAAGCCUGCGGUUCAUUGGAUUCACCGCCGGG
rnacentral:rRNA from 1 species